rnacentral:rRNA from 1 species
UACGGGGGGGGCAAGCGUUGUUCGGAAUUACUGGGCGUAAAGGGCUUGUAGGCGGCCAACUAAGUCCGACGUGAAAUCCCCAGGCUUAACCUGGGAACUGCGUCGGAUACUGGAUGGCUUGAAUUCGGGAGAGGGAUGCAGAAUUCCAGGUGUAGCGGUGAAAUGCGUAGAGAUCGGCAGGGACACCCAGGGGGAAACCAGCCGACUGGGCAAGUGCUGACGCUGAGGAGCGAAAGCAUGGGGAGCGAACAGG